rnacentral:pre_miRNA from 1 species
GCAAAGCGUACUACUAUUUUACCUAUAAUCUUUGACUCUUCGUCUUAUUUAAAAAAUUUUUGCGAUUAAUAUUUUUAUUUUUAUUAGAUAAUAAAUUAUGAAUAGUAUUUUAUGUGUGACUAAUUUUUUUCUAAUUUUCUAAAGAUUUUUUAAAUAAGACGAAAGGUGAAAUGUUGAACACAAAAACCAAAG